GCCGUCUCCAACAAACUCACCAGAGGCUGCUGUGCAGAAGGUCUCUGCUCGCUGUGCUGGAGGUAAACACUGAGAGAGCUGCCAUCAAUCAGCACCUUUCGGGCCGUAAACACAGCAGACUGCCGCCGGAAGCCGCGUGGGAGCGGCACCGCGAGUUCACCGUUGGCCUCGUCCUGCGUGUCACCGCGGCGACGAUGCGACAAACGGCGACUUAUUGUGAAUAAAAAGUCCCGAUGUUUCACCCCAACAUCUACGCCCCCCGACAUGCCCCCACGGUAGUGGCUACGCGCUCCCUGGGCCGCCAGCCAGCGGCUGGCUUCCAUUAGGCACGUGGAGCCGGUCCAGACCACAUGGGCCAGAGAGGUAAACACCAGCAGCAGCGCCAGGCGGCGGCGGCGAUGUUGACAAAACGUGUUUGCGGGAGAAGAAUCCUCUGUUGAGGCUUUUCGGUGACGUCAUCAUGGCCGACGAGCAGCUUCUGAGGGUUGAUAAGUGAUUUCACGUUGAAGGACUUGAAGCCCUUAAUUAGCUCCUGGCUGGGUGCCGAUAAGCAGUCAAUGGGGCCCAGAAUGUGUGUUUGAAGGAUCCAGUCAGGACGUCAAACGGAUUCAGCGGCGAACGCCGUUACGACGAGGAUCCACCACAGUGAAACCCGGGGAACAGAACUUCUUUUAUUCCUCCUGAUGAUUUAAUACUUUCACUUCUCUCUCCGUUCUGUUUGUUCUGAUGUGACCCGAGACUUCCCGAACCGCUCCCACAUCAGCUCCAAAGGGCCCGACCCACUCAUCAGAGACUCAAAUACACAACCGCAGAGUUAUGUAGGCCACAUACCUCAGAUCCGUCGCCCUCAUCGCUUCCCCCCCGCUUGCCCCGCUUGCGCGUUGGCCUCCAAACCACAAAAACGCGCCGCCGCUGGUUAACGUCACGUGGCCGUUUUGUAGCCUUUGAUUCGGCGGAGGCCCCGCGGGUCAAACACGUGGCCCACUGGCUCCAGCAAGCCGGGGGCCACACGUCCAGAUCGGACGGACUUAAUUGCAGCGGUGACAGCGGCGGGAUGGGACAGGAGGCGGCGAGGGGCUCGGAUUAGGGACGAUCAGCUGAGAUGUGUCUGGGAGCCGGGCCAGCGGCACUGGAGGGAGAGUCCGAGCUGGAGAGCAAAAUGCUCAUUAAGGGUUGUUUGCUUUGGUCUGCUGGUGAUUACGGGCCGAGAGUUUUUAAAGAAAACAAACAGCGAUAGCAGAUCCGAUUCCGCCGCUCCACGCUGUGCCAACCUGGAUGAUUGUCCCAUAAGUCAACUGUGAGCCCGGACAGCAAAGGGGGGAAAAAGGGGGGGGGGACAGGAAGACGCACAUGGUCGCUCCUCGGGGAGAUGGGAGGAGUCGUGAGGACGCAACAUCUUUGUUUUGCUAAAGGAAUAAAUCCAAAGGGAAGUAGUUAUUUUCUCAUAGAGGUCUAUGGGAGCAGAGGCGUCGCCCCCUGGUGGACGAUGGAGAGAAUGCAGGAGGUUUAACGCCGCUCAGAUUUUUGUGUCGGAGCUGAACGGAGCAAAAAUCGCCAAAAGCAGACUCAUUAAUGUUACAUUCCACUGAGGCCAAAAUGACCCGUUAAAAACGCCGCAUUCUGUUCCCCGUAAUUUAAACUUUCACUCAAUAAACUCUUAAGAAAGGAAUCAUUUUCUCAACAACUUUUUAUUUGCCGUUUCCUUCUAAAAUUAAUGAGAAGCUUUGCCCGUCCAACAUUUUUCUUCCUUACUUUCAUUUUCCAAAACCAGAAAUGACCGUACGGCAGCGCGCCAACACAAAUGGGAGGAAAGAGGAAAAAACAUAAACGUUUUUUUGUCUUAAUCAGCAUUUAAAUGACUUACAUUACUUAUUUUUACUUUUUCUUAGAAAGAUAUUAAAAUCAUUAAUCAUUAAUCCGAUUUUUUUAAAUGGAGGAAAUACCUGCUGCUGACCUCAUAGAUCAAACCUGAUUGGUUGGGAGAGACGUCCAAGUAUGAGUGAAAAGUCUGAAUAAUUCAUCAGAAAUCUUUGAAUUAUUCAAGAGAAAAACGAGACGAGUGACAGAAAGCAGAAAGAAGAGCGGGUUUCCUCUCCUCCACUCGCCGGGGAAACGGACCGGCUCCGCUUUCACCCCAGACCCCCUCACACAGGAAGCCGAAGGCCGGAAGAAGAGAAGCGAGAGCCGUUUAUGAACCUUCCUGAUGUGACAAGGUCCUCCAGAGUUCACGCUCUGAGCUACAGGGCCAAAGACAACACACACACACACACACACACACACACACACACCUGGGAAGGGGGGGUCGGAAUCGUUAUCCCCACCACACUGACUCUGUAGCAGCGAGUCCUCUACGGUGACGACUCAUCAACGGGAUGUGAAUCCUGAUGCAUCUCUGAGGGGACCAGAGGACUCGAGCAGGCGACUCCUCUGGUCCCGUAGACGUGAUGACAAAAUGACGUCUCUCUCGAUUUAUUCUCUCAGUAAACAUUGUAAACAUGAGUUUAUGGUCUCACUCUCUGGUUUAAAGUCUUCUUUAAUACAGCAUGGUGUUCAUUUA
ensembl:lncRNA